rnacentral:rRNA from 1 species
GAGUGGCGGACGGGUGAGUAACACGUGGGUAACCUACCCAUCAGAGGGGGAUAACACUUGGAAACAGGUGCUAAUACCGCAUAACAGUUUAUGCCGCAUGGCAUAAGAGUGAAAGGCGCUUUCGGGUGUCGCUGAUGGAUGGACCCGCGGUGCAUUAGCUAGUUGGUGAGGUAACGGCUCACCAAGGCCACGAUGCAUAGCCGACCUGAGAGGGUGAUCGGCCACACUGGGACUGAGACACGGCCCAGACUCCUACGGGAGGCAGCAGUAGGGAAUCUUCGGCAAUGGACGAAAGUCUGACCGAGCAACGCCGCGUGAGUGAAGAAGGUUUUCGGAUCGUAAAACUCUGUUGUUAGAGAAGAACAAGGACGUUAGUAACUGAACGUCCCCUGACGGUAUCUAACCAGAAAGCCACGGCUAACUACGUGCCAGCAGCCGCGGUAAUACGUAGGUGGCAAGCGUUGUCCGGAUUUAUUGGGCGUAAAGCGAGCGCAGGCGGUUUCUUAAGUCUGAUGUGAAAGCCCCCGGCUCAACC